CGGUCGCGUAACACGUAAGCAACCUGCCCUGAAGUGGGGGACAACAUCCCGAAAGGGGUGCUAAUACCGCAUGUGGUCACGAGUCGGCAUCGACUUGUGUCUAAAGAUUUAUCGCUUCAGGAUGGGCUUGCGGCCUAUCAGGUAGUUGGUGGGGUAAUGGCCUACCAAGCCGACGACGGGUAGCUGGUCUGAGAGGACGAUCAGCCGGAUUGGGACUGAGAUACGGCCCAGACUCCUACGGGGGGCAGCAAUUAGGAAUCUUGCGCAAUGGGGGAAACCCUGACGCAGCGACGUCGCGUGAAGGAUGAAGGCCCUCGGGUCGUAAACUUCUCUUGAGUGGGAAGAAAUUUGACGGUACCACUCGAAUAAGCCCCGGCUAACUACGUGCCAGCAGCCGCGGUAAUACGUAGGGGGCGAGCGUUGUCCGAAGUUACUGGGCGUAAAGCGCGCGUAGGCGGUUAUUUAAGUCUGGGGUGAAAGGUUCAGCGCU
rnacentral:rRNA from 1 species